GUGCCAGCCGCCGCGGUAAUACGUAGGGUGCAAGCGUUAAUCGGAAUUACUGGGCGUAAAGCGUGCGCAGGCGGUUUGGUAAGACAGAUGUGAAAUCCCUGGGCUCAACCUAGGAAUUGCAUUUGUGACUGCCCGGCUAGAGUGUGUCAGAGGGGGGUAGAAUUCCACGUGUAGCAGUGAAAUGCGUAGAUAUGUGGAGGAAUACCGAUGGCGAAGGCAGCCCCCUGGGAUAACACUGACGCUCAUGCACGAAAGCGUGGGGAGCAAACAGGAUUAGAAACCCCGGUAGUCC
rnacentral:rRNA from 1 species